CACAAGCGGUGGAGUAUGUGGUUUAAUUCGAUGCAACGCGAAGAACUUACCUGGUCUUGACAUCCCGGAGACCCUUAGGAAACUAGGGGUGCUUCCAUCUGGAAGAAUCUGGAGACAGGUGCUGCAUGGCUGUCGUCAGCUCGUGUCGUGAGAUGUUGGGUUAAGUCCCGCAACGAGCGCAACCCUUGCCUUUAGUUGCCAGCAGUUCGGCUGGGCACUCUAAAGGGACUGCCGGUGUUAAACCGGAGGAAGGUGGGGAUGACGUCAAGUCCUCAUGGCCUUUAUGACCAGGGCUACACACGUACUACAAUGGCCGAUACAAAGGGCAGCGACACUGCGAGGUGAAGCCAAUCCCGUAAAAUCGGUCUCAGUCCGGAUUGGAGUCUGCAACUCGACUCCAUGAAGUUGGAAUCGCUAGUAAUCGUGGAUCAGCAUGCCACGGUGAAUACGUUCCCGGGCCUU
rnacentral:rRNA from 1 species